GGGACCUCAGGUCAGGCGGGGCUACCCGCUGAGUUUAAG
rnacentral:rRNA from 1 species